rnacentral:lncRNA from 1 species
CAUAACCCAAUUUAACCCACAAAACCCAAUUACAUUACAACUAAACCCAUUAAACCCCAAUCCCAAACCUUAACCCAUCAGUUCACCACCCAAGCUCGUUUACAAUAUUUUAAACCCAAUACCAACCUAAACCAACCUAGCCCAAACCCGAAUGGCCCACUAAACCUAACCCUAAUCAGCUCUCACUUGCACCUAACCCCAUACCGUCUGCCCCACCGACUCCUCUGUUACCUCCACCGUUCACCUGCCCUCUGCCACCAAUUUAUCUGUAAAACCAAGCAAACACGCAACAACGAGAUGUAAAGCAUUGUGAAGGCUAUAAAAAAGCCAUUAACACAAGUGUAAAAGGGUCGGCAGUCCAAAGAAAAUAAGAAAUAGAUCCAAUUUUUUUAAGCAAAAAUAUCACCUCCAUCAGUAUCUAAAUACAAGGAUCUCAUCAAAUCAAACAAAAGAUAUUCAGGGAUUGAGAAAUAAAAAGGGCAAAAGACCUAAGGUGACUAUCGUUUUCUGUUUUUUUCGUUCUUGUUUAUAUAGCCGAAUCUAUUCUAUUUAUAUUUAUAUAUACAUAAAUAUAUAACAUAAAUAAAAAAUAUAUAAAAAAAUAAAAAGAAAAUUUUAAAAAAUUUACCUUUCUAGCCAUCGUGCACAGUGGCCGGCGAAGGUCUGGUGACGGACUGGUGACCGGCCCCCUGGCCGGAUUUCCUCUUCUCUCCCCCCUCUCCCUCUUUUUUUU